GAUGAACGCUGGCGGCGUGCCUAAUACAUGCAAGUCGAGCGAACAGAUGAGGAGCUUGCUCCUCUGACGUUAGCGGCGGACGGGUGAGUAACACGUGGAUAACCUACCUAUAAGACUGGGAUAACUUCGGGAAACCGGAGCUAAUACCGGAUAAUAUAUUGAACCGCAUGGUUCAAUAGUGAAAGACGGUUUUGCUGUCACUUAUAGAUGGAUCCGCGCCGCAUUAGCUAGUUGGUAAGGUAACGGCUUACCAAGGCAACGAUGCGUAGCCGACCUGAGAGGGGGAGUCGCCCCCCUUGAACUUGGACACGGGCCAGACUCCUAAGGGAGGCAGCAGUAGGGAAUCUUCCGCAAUGGGCGAAAGCCUGACGGAGCAACGCCGCGUGAGUGAUGAAGGUCUUCGGAUCGUAAAACUCUGUUAUUAGGGAAGAACAAAUGUGUAAGUAACUAUGCACGUCUUGACGGUACCUAAUCAGAAAGCCACGGCUAACUACGUG
rnacentral:rRNA from 1 species